rnacentral:snRNA from 1 species
AUCGCUUCUCGGCCUUUUGGCUAAGAUCAAGUGUAGUAUCUGUUCUUAUCAGUUUAAUAUCUGAUACGUCCCCUACCCGGGGACCAUAUAUUAAAUAGAUUUUUGGAACAGGGAGAUGGAAUAGGGGCUUGCUCCGUCCACUCCACGCAUCGACCUGGUAUUGCAGUAUCUCCAGGAACAGUGCACUCCCU